UGGGGAAUUUUGGACAAUGGGGGAAACCCUGAUCCAGCCAUCCCGCGUGUGCGAUGAAGGCCUUCGGGUUGUAAAGCACUUUUGGCAGGAAAGAAACGUCAUGGGUUAAUACCCCGUGAAACUGACGGUACCUGCAGAAUAAGCACCGGCUAACUACGUGCCAGCAGCCGCGGUAAUACGUAGGGUGCAAGCGUUAAUCGGAAUUACUGGGCGUAAAGCGUGCGCAGGCGGUUCGGAAAGAAAGAUGUGAAAUCCCAGAGCUCAACUUUGGAACUGCAUUAUUAACUACCGGGCUAGAGUGUGUCAGAGGGAGGUGGAAUUCCGCGUGUAGCAGUGAAAUGCGUAGAUAUGCGGAGGAACACCGAUGGCGAGGGCAGCCUCCUGGGAUAACACUGACGCUCAUGCACGAAAGCGUGGGGAGCAAACAGG
rnacentral:rRNA from 1 species